AUGAGACUCCAACACGAGGGGAGAAAGAGCCAUACAACUCCUCACCCCUGUCUUCCGUGGAGCAAACACCGGCCGCACAAUGAGAAUGUGACGUCAGAGUGGUCUGCAACAGAGCCGGCACAAGGGAUAGUCUACUCAGAGCAACCUCCGCUCAUUCCAGAAAGCUCUAAACCCGCGCCACACAACCAUGCAACAGUGCAGUCUGAUCAGCCAGUGCGGACUGCAACAUCAUCUUGGACGGGGUUGCCGAGCCAGCAGCAGCAGAGACAACAGACGCCCAAGACCCACGGUGAAUCACCUUGGAAGGGGGUGUGGAUCUCACCGAACCCUCACAUGAAGCAGGAGCAACACGAUGCACGGCGGCGAGGCGGGACACAUGCGGCACAUCAAGGCAUGAUAGUGAGCUCAGUGGACGCCAGGGGUUGCGACAUUCACGUGCACGAUGACCAUUCUCCAAACAACGGGAGCACCGCAACGGAUCUCUGCAAACAGCAGCACGAUGCCCAUAAGCAAGGCAUCUACAACAUCUACCGUGGAGCCAAGCAGGGAUGGGACAAGGAGGACGAGGAGCCAUGUAGUCAUAAUGACUAG
rnacentral:rRNA from 1 species